GUUUUAAAGGUAUUGCACCGUGUUGGUAAAAGUCGAAGAGGUAAAAUUAGAUUUCCUUAAUUUUAUAGUUUUUGGAUACACUUAUGAGGGUAGAACGCACCCCCGCCAAAAAAAAAUCGCUCUGAAAUGCCUGUAUUUUCGAGAAAUCGCGUGUUUAGUGUUGAUUUUGGUUAUUUAUCUGGUACUCGAUAAAUACGGCUAAUUCGCUUGAUGUUGAAUAUCUCAUGGAUAAAAUUGUUUCUGAUCUUACUGUUAUAAUGUAAUGAUGAGGCUCAGACAGUCAUUUGUAAGCUUGGUAGUAGCAACUAUUUAAAGGCAGUCACGCAGGGGAUUUCCUGAUUAAUUUCAGCCGCAGAUGGCGACACACAAGUACGGUCACGAAGCUGUUUACCGAGCGGAAUUGUACGUGCGCGGGUGUCCAGUUUCUGUACGUGCGUAUGCGCACCAUUCUCAGUCAUAUCAUGUCACUGCACUGUCAGUGUCAGUAUCAGACCUGCAAAACAGUCUGUCUGAUCUGUCCUGACACUCUAAAUUUGCUCAAGUCAAAUUUUCAGUUUCAAAAUCAAAGUGUCCAGGGCUGUCAGUAUCACUGCAGCGAGUGUCAGCAGGUCAGUGUCCCUGUCAGUGUCACUGCAGCGAGUGUCAGCAGGUCGAGUGUCACUGCAUUGCAAAAAUACAUCAAAGACCAAGCUUUGUGCGCAAGAUAGCAAAUAUAAUUCAAACUUAACGUUCUAAUAAAGCCUCUAGAGACGAUCGGAUAUAUAAUAAAACAAUUACCGGUGACGAGAUCUCGAUAAAGACAAACACCAAAAUUUACACCGCACAUGAAAGUAGACGUGCAAUCGCGAUCGCAGGUUGCAGCAUACAGCAUGCAGCAGUAAUUUUCGGUCUUGUUUACGUUUGGUAGUAUAAAGCGCGGCCGAGUACAACAGCUGUUCAAUUCAGUAGUAUACUAUAACUAGACCCUCUAUAAGAAUCCAGAUUAUAAAUCUACUAACUAAUUUAUAGCUUAUACAGUAUAUUAUUAGAAUGUGAAAAAAAAUAACUGUGCGGUAACAAUGUAGUAUAUUUUCUUUGCUUUUUUAAGAUGCAAUUGACAACACAAGAAACAUACACAGAUUGCGAUAUUGCGCAAUGUGCACGUUUCUUUCGUGCGUACGUAAUGUGAGCUGAUCGCUGAGACAGCUCGAGCGGGGAUAGCGAGCUGGCGAUUCCUAUGCACACGGUUUGAUUUCUAUAUCGUGCGUCUGUGUGUGUGCGUCGCUCGGAAGAGUUCGGACGGCCAUGUUUGAAAUUGGGUGCUGCGGGAAAGACGACCACUUUGGUGUUCGCUUGCCCCUCGAGCACGCGUAGUUUGCAUUAGGCGAAACGGUUUCACAAGGGAGUUGGACGGCGUCAGCGUACAUGACAUUUCUCGUGGCCAAUGAAAUCGCUCGCCACGCGUGUAAGUCUUUAAUAUGUGGUUCCAUGUUGAAAGAACCAAACAACACACUCCCUGUGUCCUGACCUGGGUAUGACUCAUAGGUCAUGACACAAUAACAUAAACAUUGGCUAGUCUUUGUUCAGGCUUAUCAUUACAAAGACUUUACAAACAGAUAUCACGACACUUUCACAGGUAAGGUUCUAUUCAUGUUGAUACAUCACAAAAUAAAGGAAAGUUGGGAAAUUUUCAAAGGACAACACUGUUUUUAAAGGGAAAAACAAAUUUGUCUGGCCGGACAGAUAUCGCCGACUGUAGUUGUCCUUUUCUAGCUUCCAAUGCUAUUUGAAGAAAAUUAGGAAUCAAUUUGGUCUUAGGUCAUCUAGAUGGACCAAGGAAAACAUUUCCACCAAAUCCAUGACCUUGACCAACACUGUGUAUUACCUUUAAGAAUUUAAUUUCUGUCCAAAUUAAGAAAUAUGAUUAUAUUAGUUAUAAAGAAGCAUCAAAUGCUGGCAUGUUGAUUGAUCUCCGAUGAAUUAAAUCCAGAUUUGUGGUUUAUGAUGUUCUCUAUGAUGGAUGUCAACCACACCAACUUUGGCAGCAAGAAAAAACAAGUAUGAAAUGGGUGUGCAAUUAUCAUAGAUGUCCUCUAACCCUUUAAAAAGUCAACAGAUCCCAACUAACCCAGGAAGGGGGAUAGGUAGAAAUAGUUGAGAGGUUGUCUUUAAAGAUGAGUAAUCUCUCACCUAAACACUGAAUAAUAUACUAUAUAUAAAAUAAUAGAUACAUGUAGCUCAAAUGUAUGGUUCUCUAAACAAGAAUGAAUUAGAUUACAUUUUUCUUUAAAAACUUUUUUUUUAUAAACAGAACAGGGUUCUUAAUUAUGGGUCAGGGAAUUUGAAAUACUUUUUCAAACAGCAAAAUGUCAAUGAAAGUCAUGGAAUUCAUUAAUACUUCUGGAAAGUUGGGGGAAAAUCAUUUGUUCAAGAUAUUAUUUAAUAUUCUAACCUUAUAUUUAUUUGUAUAAUUAACAGAGGGAAUUAAAAAAAAAAAUGUAUGCUUUCAUGUCAGAUCAGUUUGUAUCAUAUUCCACAAUUACACUUCCCUGACCAGCCCUUCUAUUACAUGUAUUUUAUUAUUUUGUGUACUUGUAGUACUGAUACUAGCAAGCUCCCCUCACAACUAAGUAUAAGUGUGUAUGACUGACGACAUACAUGUACAUGUACACUCUAGGCCUGGGAAUGAAUACCAAAUUUGCUAUUCAAA
rnacentral:lncRNA from 1 species